rnacentral:rRNA from 1 species
UACGAAGGGGGCUAGCGUUGUUCGGAUUUACUGGGCGUAAAGGGCGCGUAGGCGGUGUCGUCAGUCAGGCGUGAAAGCCCCGGGCUCAACCUGGGAAUUGCGCUUGAUACUGCGGCGCUUGAAUCCAGGAGAGGAUGGCGGAAUUCCCAGUGUAGAGGUGAAAUUCGUAGAUAUUGGGAAGAACACCGGUGGCGAAGGCGGCCAUCUGGCCUGGCAUUGACGCUGAGGCGCGAAAGCGUGGGGAGCAAAC